rnacentral:rRNA from 1 species
UGGGGAAUAUUGGACAAUGGGCGCAAGCCUGAUCCAGCCAUGCCGCGUGAGUGACGAAGGCCUUAGGGUUGUAAAGCUCUUUUGGCGGGGAAGAUAAUGACGGUACCCGCAGAAUAAGCUCCGGCUAACUUCGUGCCAGCAGCCGCGGUAAUACGAAGGGAGCUAGCGUUGUUCGGAAUCACUGGGCGUAAAGCGCACGUAGGUGGGCAGUUAAGUCAGGGGUGAAAGCCCGAGGCUCAACCUCGGAAUUGCCUCUGAUACUGGCUGUCUAGAGUCCGAGAGAGGUGGGUGGAAUUCCUAGUGUAGAGGUGAAAUUCGUAGAUAUUAGGAAGAACACCGGUGGCGAAGGCGGCCCACUGGCUCGGUACUGACACUGAGGUGCGAAAGCGUGGGGAGCAAACAGGAUUAGAUACCCUAGUAGUCCCUGAGCGGGCUGGCAAGGCGCAU